GACGCCUAUCAUGAUGAAAUAUUGCGGAUGUAAAUCAUUAUCGUCUUGUCGGAAAAGCGCAACUUACACGAUGUCGAAACUUUCCGUUGCCUUCCUUCUGAAUUGAAGCGU
rnacentral:snoRNA from 1 species